GGCGGCCCUCCGCCUGCGCACGCCUCGUGUUUUCCGUCUCGCCACCGUGAUGUCGCCUCUGCUGCUUCGUCGCGUCGUCGCCUCUCUGCUGCUCCACGGAUCCCUGAAGUGCUGCUGCUCCGGCGCCACGGGCGGCGCCCUCUGGCAGCCGGCUGCCAGGGGCGCGUGGAGGAUGUAGAUUGGUCCUGGUGGCGGCGACAGCGGAGGGCCAGCAACUGCGAGCGGUACCGUGCUCCUGCGGUGGCUUCGUAUGCAGGGACCGGAGGUCUACAGUAGCGCGCAUCUAGCCGGCUCAGCAUCGUGGAUCUAACCAGAGGAGGCCACGGCUGUUGCUCCUCCCUCGGCAAUGGCGAGGGUUCGAGACAGGACGAAGCACUUCAAAGGGGUCGCAAUGCUCUCACAUGGAUACAUCGAGAAAAUGGGAACCACUCGAAAACGUCGCUCACUCUGGCUGAGAGAUUGCAGAGGAGCACGAUGGUUUAGAGAGUGUUUUAGUGCCUAUGCAGGGGAUUGUGGUUAAUGGGAAAAGUACUUCAGAGCUAUUGAGUGGCUCUGUAUCAUUGAGGUCAGCUGAGGUGGUUGGAACACCUGUUGGACGAAUUGUGAAGUGUGAGGAGUUUCUGAAGGCUGCAGGACCUGUUAUGCUGGUUGGCCCUUCUAGCUAAGUUCACCAUCUUCAACUUUGGUACUCAGAAGGAUGUCUCCAACUGGGGCUUGUUCUUCUGUGUUGCAAUUGGUCCAUGGGCUGGUCUGAUUAUUGGUUUUGUCACAGAAUACUACACUAGCAAUGCAUACAAGUUCAAAGCCUACAAGUCUCUUAUGUUUUUUCUUCUCAUCGUUUCUUUGUGAUGGUGUUUUAAUAAUCCUAACAUGUUUAUUCUAUGGUAGUCCUGUGCAAGACGUUGCAGAUUCCUGCAGAACUGGUGCUGUCACUAAUGUCAUUUUGGGUCUUGCUCUUGGAUACAAGUCGGUUAUCAUCCCGAUUUUCGCUAUCGCUGUUAUCAUCUAUGUUAGUUUCUCCAUUGCUGCAAUGUACGACAUCGCAGUUGCCGCUCUUGGUAUGCUGAGCACAAUCGCAACUGGUCUUGCUAUUGAUGCUUAUGCUCCCAUCAGUGACAAUGCUGGUGGUAUUGCUGAGAACUGAUGCUGUUGAUGCUGCUGGCAACACCACUGCCGCUAUUGGAAAGGGAUUUGCCAUUGGUUCAGCUGCUCUUGUGUCUCUGGCGCUUUUUGGUGCCUUUGUCAGCAGAGCUGGAGUCAAGGUUGUCGAUGUCCUCUCCCCCAAGGUUUUCAUUGGUUUGAUUGUUGGAGCCAUGCUUCCCUAUUGGUUCUCUGCCAUGACCGUGAAGAGUGUUGGAAGUGCUGCCCUAAAGAUGGUGGAGGAGGUCCGCAGACAGUUCAACACCAUUCCUGGGUUGAUGGAGGGAACUGCCAAGCCUGACUAUGCAACCUAUUGGAAGAUCUCCACUGAUGCUUCCAUCAAGGAGAUGAUUCCUCCUGGUGCUCUGGUCAUGCUCACUCCCCUCAUUGUUGGAACCCUCUUCGGUGUUGAGACUCUCUAUGGUGUUCUUGCUGGUGCCCUGGUUUCUGGAGUGCAACCGUCGUUUUCUCUUAACAGAAAAGAACUAUAAAAACGUCGCCGCUGUCAAAACCCAGAAAUUACGAGGCGCGAAAUGGAAAGCUUCCAGCAGAUUAACGAUCGGCUAGAUUUGAUUCAUUCCGCCCGCCCACUACCUCUCACGGUCACGGCCAAUCCGGCCAACCCAGAGAUCACGUGUCAGUGCUAUUUUGUGUACAAGUACUACUUAAUAUAUGUUUGAAAACUUUUUUAAGUGAUUUCCAAACUUGAACGGGAAUCAUUCUUAUUCUUUU